GAUCCUGGCUCAGAAUGAACGCUGGCGGCAUGGAUUAGGCAUGCAAGUCGAACGUGCUCCCUUCGGGGAGAAAGUGGCGAAAGGGUGAGUAACACGUGAGCAACCUGCCUCCGGAUCCGGAAUAAUCCAGGGAAACUUGGUCUAAAACCGGAUGAAGACAUUGGGCCGCAUGGUCUGGUGUUAAAAAUAUUUAUAGUCCGGAGAGGGGCUCGCGGCCCAUUAGCUUGUUGGCGGGGUAAUGGCCCACCAAGGCUACGACGGGUAGGUGGUCUGAGAGGAUGGUCACCCACACUGGGACUGAGACACUGCCCAGACUCCUACGGGAGGCUGCAGUCGAGAAUCUUCCGCAAUGGGCGCAAGCCUGACGGAGCGAUGCCGCGUGAGGGAUGAAGGCCUUCGGGUUGUAAACCUCUGUCAUCCGGGACGAAAACAAUGACGGUACCGGAAAAGGAAGCCACGGCUAACCACGUGCCAGCAGCGGC
rnacentral:rRNA from 1 species